rnacentral:rRNA from 1 species
CAGUCGCCACGGUAAUACGUAGGUGGCAAGCGUUAUCCGGAAUUAUUGGGCGUAAAGCGCGCGUAGGCGGUUUUUUAAGUCUGAUGUGAAAGCCCACGGCUCAACCGUGGAGGGUCAUUGGAAACUGGAAAACUUGAGUGCAGAAGAGGAAAGUGGAAUUCCAUGUGUAGCGGUGAAAUGCGCAGAGAUAUGGAGGAACACCAACGGCGAAAGCACUCUGCUGGGCCGACACUGACACUGAGAGACGAAAGCUAGGGGAGCAAAUGGGAUUAGAGACCCCUGUAGUCCCUGUCUCUUAUAC